rnacentral:rRNA from 1 species
AUCGAUGAAGAACGCAGCGAAAUGCGAUAAGUAAUGUGAAUUGCAGAAUUCAGUGAAUCAUCGAAUCUUUGAACGCACAUUGCGCCCCUUGGUAUUCCGAGGGGCAUGCCUAUUCGAGCGUCAUUAUCACCCCUCAAGCUCAGCUUGGUGUUGAGGCCUGCUGUAAAGGCAGCCUCUAAAAUCAGUGGCAGUGCUGUCAGGCUCUAAGCGUAGUAAUUUUCAUCGCUAUAGACACCUGGUGGAUACUCGCCAGAACCCCCCCAUUUUUUAAUGAUUGACCUCGGAUUAGGUAGGGAUACCCGCUGAACUUAAGCAUAUCAAUAAGCGGAGGAAAAGAAACCAACAGGGAUUGCCUCAGUAACGGCGAGUGAAGCGGCAAAAGCUCAAAUUUGAAAUCUGGCUCUUUUAGGGUCCGAGUUGUAAUUUGUAGAAGAUGUUUCGGGUGUGGCUCCGGUUUAAGUUCUUUGGAAUAUUACAUCAUAGAGGGUGAGAAUCCCGUAUGUGACCGGCAGCCUUCGCCUAUGUGAAACUCUUUCGACGAGUCGAGUUGUUUGGGAAUGCAGCUCAAAAUGGGAGGUAUAUUUCUUCUAAAGCUAAAUAUUGGCCAGAGACCGAUAGCGCACAAGUAGAGUGAUCGAAAGAUGAAAAGCACUUUGAAAAGAGGGUUAAAUAGCACGUGAAAUUGUUGAAAGGGAAGGACUUAUGACCAGACUUUUUCCUAGUGAAUCAUCCGGUGUUCUCACCGGUGCACUUCGCUUGGUUUAGGCCAGCAUCGGUUUCCGUAGGGGGAUAAAAGCUUUAGGAAUGUGGCUCCUCCGGGAGUGUUAUAGCCUUUUGUAUAAUACCCUUCUGGGGACCGAGGUACGCGCUUCUGCAAGGAUGCUGGCGUAAUGGUCAUCAGUCACCCGUCUUGAAACACG